AGCAUUUAAAGCACAUUAUACAAACAUCUUAAGCACAAAUGUGUUGAAAGUACCUUUUCAACACACGCAGAACUCUGUUGGGCGGGAUUUCAAAAUUCAAACACCCAUUGUCAGAUCUAUCUUUUCUUCAUCUAAUCUACACGCCUCUCUCUCCUUUUCUCUUGCUUUUUCCUCUUUUCUCCUAAAUCUCAGGCUUUUUCCCUCUUUGUCUUUGUGUUGAACACCGAUGAUUUGAAGAAAUCCCCACCGAUUUGCAGGUUUGUUCUCGCACGUGGCACUUUCGGCACCGUCACCUCCUCUCAAAUUUCGCUUUCGGUUGAACAGCGGCAGUGACAAUUAGGGUGUUAAGAUCUAGGGUUCCGACAAAAACGGAGAUGGUUACCGCUGGAUUUCAUAUUCUGGUGGCGAUGACUAGAUUAUUGAUGAGGUUUUGGUUGGAAUUCGCGACUGCAUGCUCAAGUUUAGGAAAACAAGGGUUUGGUAAGUAGAGAUUCCGGAGAUAUAUGGCAUAAACAAGCUUUCUAUAACAACAAGGAGAUGUUGAUAAUUUAUGGGAGAUUGAGAAAUUGAGAUCAGGAUUGAUGAAAACUCACACAAUUGGUCAUGGGUUUAUCAUGUGCAAAGGGGUUUCUAUAAUUUGUCAGAGCAGAGCUACUGGACAUAAAUAUGGAUUCUGCCCAGUGACAACGUUUCAGGUUCAUGAAUAUUUUAGGCCUAAGGUUAUGUUGAAGUUGGGUGAUAUACAUAAAAACAAAUUUCAUACAAGAUAAAACAAGGGGAAGCUUUGUCUCUUAUGUCCUGCCUAAAAAGAGGCAGAAGUGAAUUAUCUUGGGCAACUUUUGCACCCGAAUCUCAUACAAUUGAUCGGGUUUGGAGGACAAACAACGGCUUUUAGUGUACGAAUUCAUGCCUUGUGGGAGCUUGGAAAGUCACUUAUUUAGGAGAGGAUCUUAUUUUCAACCAUUAUUGUGGAGUCUUCGGUUAAAGGUUGCUCUCUAGGAGCUGCUAAAGGACUUGCUUUUCUUCAUGGUGCGAAAGCAAAAGUGAUUUAUCGCGAUUGCAAGACUUCUAGGUAGUGUUUGGUAUGAGGUAAUGAAGGAGGAAUGGAAUGAUCCAUUCAAAGGUAAUGAAAAUAAGGUACGUUUGGUUUGGUUGCUCGGUGGAAAGGAAUUAAGCAUUACACAUGGAAUCCUUUUGCUUCUAAAGACGCCCAAUGCAUUCCUUCGCUCCCCCCAGUUUUUUUUUUUUUUCAUUCGGUUCCAUCACAUUAGCGAUUCUCUUUUUUGCCCUUCAUAUGCCGUUCCAACUAGCCUUUCUUUAUUGAGAAUCUUCAAAGUCCAGUUUCCAUGAAGGUCUUCUUCAAUCAUGGGUUGAACCAAAUCAACUCUUCUUCAAUCGAUUUGUCAUUGUGGUCAUUACCAAAUUGCAUCGUCUGUAUGUAAUCACUGGUCUUUCUCUAAUCGUCUUUUCUUCAGUGAUCUUUCUCAAAUCAAUUCGGUUCUGCAAUCAUCGGCCUUUACUGCAAUCAGGUUCGUUCUUCAGUGAUUUAUUGUAUGGGUUCCAUGGAUAUUCCCUUUGUUCUAUUGAUUUAUUGUAUGGCUAUAUGGAUUCUUAUAGAUCACCAUAAGAUGUAUGCCCUUAAAAAUAUCAUUAUAUAUACAUCACAAUUUAGAAGAGUGUAGUCUAUGUAAAGACUAGUUUUAAUUUGGGGGUUUUCUUGUUUUACGGUGUUUUUUGUUUUUAGAUGAGUGUGUGUCAAGAAGCUUGUAAGGAUUUGUAUUAUUUGCCUUGAAAUUUUUUGUGAUAAUGAUCAAAAAACGGUUUAAAUGUUGUUAUGGAUGCUUAAUUUAUGGCUAAUGUUGUAACUUAAUCUAUUGUAGGUUACUUGCUGCAAACAUGAGUUCCAUUUGCAUUGCAUUGCAUUCUUGAAUGGUGCUAUACAUUGUUUUUAUAGAAAAUUAAAUUGAAAUUUGUAUGAACUGUCACUUUUUUGUACCUAUUCUAAGCUUCUUUUUUAUAGACAUGAUUUGGUUGAUUGUUUGUGGACAUGAUAUUACAUUUUCGUGUGUUAUAAUCUAUGUUUUGACUGUUCUUUCUUAUGUGUUAUAACCUAUGUUUUGAUUGUUCAUAUGUUCGUUCCUCUUGCGUUCUUAUGUUCAUUCCUCUUGCAAAUGCUAAACUGUCAUCAAAUGACAUUUUCUUGUAGAAAGGUAUGCAGAUUUUGUAUCUUAAAUAUUGAAUGCUUUGAAUUAUAGAUAUAAGAAUAUUUUAUGGCAAAAUUUAAUAUUUGUACUUCGUUUCGCAGUGGACCUUUUGCGCUGGUCAAUUUACUGGAGCUGCACUUGUUGUCAUUCUCUUCAAGAACCAAUCUUAUAUUAUUAUUAUUUUUUUUUUUUUUUACUUCUGUAGUUGUUUCCUUGUUCUUUUAUAUACAGUUGUCUCUUCCUUGUAAUACAAUAUGAUUAGCUAAUAUAAGUUUUUGAAUGACAUUGUUGUAAUUACUUUAUCGUUUAUCCAUGGUUAGAUUUCUUAAGGAAUUGUAGACAUGAUAUGGAUUUAUCGUUUAUCCCUGUUUGAAUUUGUUGAAGAGUUGUGGGAAGGAGAUAGUCAACUUAAUUGGAUAAUAUUGCGAAAAUUGGUAAAUUUUCUUUAUUUUAAGAUACGGGUAUUUUCGUCAUUGAAUUGUAUUCCAUUCCUUCAUCUUUUCCUGAAUACCAAACGUGUCAAUGGAAUGGUAAUAAUCUAUUUCAUUCCCUUGUCCAUUCCAUUCCUUCGUCCAUUCCAUUCUCUCGUUCAUUCCAUUACCUCAUAUCAAACAGACCCCUAAUGUGUUGCUAGAUUCGGACUACAACGCAAAGCUAUCAGAUUUCGGGGCUAGCCAAGGAUGGACCGAUCGGUGAUAAGAGCCAUAUCUCGACUAGAGUCAUGGGGACGUACAGAACUGUCCAAUUGGGUAAUAAGAACCAAACCAUGUCUCGACUAGAGUCAUGGGAUUUGAUCUUUUGCUGAUGUGUAUAAGCUCAUGCUACCAUGAACAAGUACGCUUGGGAACUGCCGUUAACUCCAUCAGGUCUGCAAGUUUGUGGAUGACAGAAUGCCAUUAAGAAGACAAGUUCUACUAUAGUGAAACUUGGUUCUUAAAAGAAGACAAGUUCCACCAUGUUAUAGUGAUGUUAUAAAUCUACACUGGUCGUUGAGUUCGAUGUGAAACCAGGCAUGGGUUACUUUUGUGAUUCAUUUGUCAUGUAAAUUUUAUAUAAAAAAACCCCACUUUCCCUUGUAUGGCAACAAGUUACUUCAUAUACAGUAAGACUUCAUUUACAUUGUAUAGUGAUGGUACAAUAUGACGCAUGACUUUCUUUUGAAUGAGUUCUAAAUUGUCACA